AUUGAACGCUGGCGGCAGGCCUAACACAUGCAAGUCGAACGGUAACAGGAAGCAGCUUGCUGCUUCGCUGACGAGUGGCGGACGGGUGAGUAAUGUCCGGGAAGCUGCCUGAUGGAGGGGGAUAACUACUGGAAACGGUAGCUAAUACCGCAUAAUGUCGCAAGACCAAAGAGGGGGACCUUCGGGCCUCUUGCCAUCGGAUGUGCCCAGAUGGGAUUAGCUUGUUGGUGGGGUAACGGCUCACCAAGGCGACGAGCCCUAGCUGGUCUGAGAGGAUGACCAGCCCCACUGGAACUGGGGCACGGUUCAGACUCCUACGGGGAGGAGCAGUGGGGGAUAUUGCACAAUGGGCGCAAGCCUGAUGCAGCCAUGCCGCGUGUAUGAAGAAGGCCUUCGGGUUGUAAAGUACUUUCAGCGGGGAAAGAGGGAGUGAAGUUAAUACCUCUGCUCAUUGACGUUACCCGAAGGAGAAACACCGGCUAACUCCGUG
rnacentral:rRNA from 1 species